rnacentral:rRNA from 1 species
GACGAACGCUGGCGGCGUGCUUAACACAUGCAAGUCGAACGAUGAACCCGGAGCUUGCUCCGGUGGAUUAGUGGCGAACGGGUGAGUAACACGUGAGUAACCUGCCCUUGACUCUGGGAUAACUGCGGGAAACUGUAGCUAAUACCGGAUACGACCCUCGGCGGCAUCGCCAGGGGGUGGAAAGAAUUUCGGUCAAGGAUGGACUCGCGGCCUAUCAGCUAGUUGGUGAGGUAACGGCACACAGAGGCGACGAGGGGUAGCGGGCCUGAGAGGGUGACGGGCCACACGGGGACUGAGACCCGGCCCAGACUCCUAGGGGAGGCAGCAGGGGGAAAUAUUGCAAAAUGGGCGCAAGCCUGAUGCAGCAACGCGGCGUGAGGGAUGACGGCCUUCGGGUUGUAAACCUCUUUUAGUAGGGAAGAAGCGAAAGUGACGGUACCUGCAGAAAAAGCACCGGCUAACUACGUGCCAGCCGCCGCAGUAA